rnacentral:rRNA from 1 species
CCUACGGGAGGCAGCAGUGAGGAAUAUUGGUCAAUGGGCGAGAGCCUGAACCAGCCAAGUCGCGUGAAGGAUGACGGCCCUACGGGUUGUAAACUUCUUUUGUCAGGGAGCAAUUGGGUCCACGCGUGGGCUUAGCGAGAGUACCUGAAGAAAAAGCAUCGGCUAACUCCGUGCCAGCAGCCGCGGUAAUACGGAGGAUCCGAGCGUUAUCCGGAUUUAUUGGGUUUAAAGGGAGCGUAGGUGGAUUGUUAAGUCAGUUGUGAAAGUUUGCGGCUCAACCGUAAAAUUGCAGUUGAAACUGGCAGACUUGAGUUGGCGAGAAGUACGCGGAAUGCGCGGUGUAGCGGUGAAAUGCAUAGAUAUCGCGCAGAACUCCGAUUGCGAAGGCAGCGUACCGGCGCCAGACUGACGCUGAGGCACGAAAGCGUGGGGAUCGAACAGGAUUAGAUACCCGAGUAGUC